rnacentral:lncRNA from 1 species
AGACUACAUCAGAUAAGAUUAGAUAAGAUGAGUCAGCACUCAUAGCUGGCAGAGGCCGGGCCGCCUUGUGCAUAUAGCCCGGGCGAAGCGACGUCUUCGCAAAUCUGUCUGAACUGAAAUGAACUGAACUACAUCACAUUUUUACUUAAUACCGUUGUUUUGUUACAAGACUACAUUAAGUUCUAACUUCACAAAAAGUGUUACUGCCUACACUGUUAAGAUAAAAUAGGAGAAAUGUAGUUUUCUCGGCAAACCUACAUUUUGAACUUUACUCUAUCACAUCUACAACACUCAGAAGACUGACUUUGGACUGUAGGCCCAGUUGAGCAGCCCUGGAAUGGAGGGAAGUGAAUAGAAGAGAAGAGAAGAGAAGAGAAGAGAAGGAAUUGGAGUGAAGAGAGAAAAAGAGGAAAGAAGUGGGGCUGCAACACUAAGCAAUGGUUCAACUUGCUAAUGAAUAAACUUUGAUUGGCAGUGCCUCACUUGUGGGAUUUGCACUGACACCCAUCACUC